rnacentral:lncRNA from 1 species
UCAAAAUCCACCAAGGAUUCACAUAACACCUACAGUUUCUCAAAUGGUGUUGUAAGAUUGAUGUGAGGCUCACGAUCAAGAAUGUGAGGCUCUUUGUAGAUGGGAGUUGAGACGACACCGGUAACCGCUGGGUUUGGGUUGCUUGACCUUGGAGCUUGUUCGUUUGAAUCCAUUUGUUGAGAGAAGUUGUAGACAGAUUGUUG